UAUGUAUGUGCAUGGCAAAUUAAGAAUUUUAACCUUACUAAUAAAUCUCAGGCAUGAUUUAAUUUUUCAGGGAUACAGGACACUGGAUGAUCUACAAGAAAAAGGGACUUUAAGUAGACACCAGCAAAUUGGUCUGAAGUACUAUGAUGAAAUAAAUAGCCGUAUCCCUCGUGAAGAAGUUGAAGAAAUUGAAAAAUUUGUACAUGCUACUGCACUGAGCAUUAAAAAAGGACUGAUUGUUAUGGUGUGUGGCUCAUACAGACGUGGUAAACCUUCCUGUGGAGAUGUUGAUGUGCUGGUGACUCACCCUGAUGGCCAGUCUCAUGAAACUAUAUUCCACCCACUCUUGAAUAAAUUGAGAGAGACAGGUAUAUCAUGUUUUUCUUCCCUUUUUAUUAAGGGAAGAAUCCAGUAGUUUAAAAACAAAAAGUAGAGGUUCCUGACUAGUAUGUAUUUUAUGUUUAACAUUCCCUGAUCAUCAAGUCAUUCCUGAUUUUCAAGUUUUUUUAUGCAGUCUUUCUACUCCAUUACAUCUC
rnacentral:lncRNA from 1 species